AGGCGGAGAGAGACGCGCACUACACAGCUACGGGCCAGUCUACCGUAGAUCUGUGGGACUUCUACCAGAUCAACACCAUUGUUGACGGCCAGAUCGUGGAUCCGAUAGAUCCCGUGGAUCAGAUCAUCUCGGGUUGAUGGAUGGAUGAGGUCUUCAUUACGUCAUCGAAAUAAACAUUCAUCUGUGGAAUGUAA